AGUUGCUGCCUCUUCUCUUCCUCGGCUUCCCAUUCUUCUUUUCUCAUUUGGUCUCGAUUUCCCACUCUUUUCUUCUCGACCUGGCCUCCGACGACGCCUCCCGAAGGGUUUUGGCACUGUCCCCACUGCCAUUUCCAUUAGCCAUUCAAUCCAUGGCAACCAUUUCGCUGAGAAAUCAGAAGACGAUCUUCGUAAGGAGAUCGAUGAGCUUCAGCGCCAGCAACGCGAGAUCUGAUUUUCCCCCUCUCUCACUUUUGGAUGUAUAUUGUAGCACAGUGUGUUUUCUCUAUGAUUUUCUUGGUAAAUUUUCAGAUUACUGACCACCUUUGGGAUCCUGGGGGCUUCGCCGGGGACGCUUGCCCGGCGCUGGUCCUUGUAACUUUGCCACCAAUGGUGCUCUUUAGAAUUAUGUUGCUCAAUCUUUCUUUCAUUUUCAUUAAUCCUUAGGUGGAAGAUGGAGAGAUCACUGAGGAUGCCAAAGUAAAUGAGGACGUGAAUGAAGAUGAUUCGGUCAAGGAAGUUACUGAUGGGAAUUUGCUGCAGAGUGGGUGGUCCAGGAGAGAUGGCAAUCAAAGACCAAUGAGGAAGACUCUGCGGGCACGUGUUUAUGCCAAGACAGAAGAGAAGAAGUUGGAAUUACUGUAUCUUCGGUGGAGUGAGCACCAUAAAAAACACUGCAAUUUUAUAAGGUUAUUUUUAUUUUUGGCCAGAAAGUGUCCAUAUUCACAUUUUAUUGAGCCGCAGAUAAGUUUUUCUGUUCAUGUGCAUAGUAGUAUUGAAGCAACUUGAUGAAUGAGUGAAGUUUCUUGCUGUAUAACAAGGUUUUAGGUAGAAAUUCAAAACCCAUUUGUUUGAAUUGUUGGCUCAUAUUUUAUUGUUUUGAAUUUAUUAUUUUCAAGACUAAGACAGAGCCUCCAAUUUAUUAUUUGCUGAAGAAGCCAUUGGAUGCAGAUGAAAUUGAGGCUGAGCAGCGAAAAGAAUAGGUUUUUAUUCAUCUUGUAUUUCUCUAAGGCAUACUAGGUCACCCAUUGGUGUUGUAGCCUGUAGGUGCUAUAAUAUGCAAUGGCAAUGGCACAACAAAGAAUAGUGUUGGCGUCUAUGGGAGUGCCUGUUGUGGUCAUGAAGUCCGUUACUCUGCUUUUUAUGGUUGGAGUUUGGGUAUUUAUUAUGGUCAUCAAUCUAUUAAUCUAUGUUUUGUAUAUUUGUACAA